UACGGAGGGGGCUAGCGUUGUCCGAAGUUACUGGGCGUAAAGCGCGCGUAGGCGGGUUGGUAAGUCCGCUGUGAAAGCCCGGAGCUCAACUCCGGAGGGUCGGUGGAUACUGCCAGUCUUGAAGGUGCUAGGGGGAGAUGGAAUUACCGGUGUAGCGGUGGAAUGCGUAGAGAUCGGGAAGAACAUCAGUGGCGAAGGCGGUCUGCUGGGCCGUUGCUGACGCUGAGGCGCGACAGCGGUGGGGAGCAAACAGG
rnacentral:rRNA from 1 species